GCCCGGUAACUCACACAUAAAUAGCCUGGUAACAAAAUGGCAACACCCAACUGAGAUAAGUUUUGGAGCCCAAAGCAGCAGUACGCAAACAGUAUGGCAAGUGGCAACUCACAUAUUACUGCAUGUUAACUUCAUAGCUGAGAAUAAGAUCGAGAGUUUCUCCAAUAUAUGGUAGCAUGGGCACCAAUGGUGGACCAAGGACUAAAGGUUCAAUACUUAAGUUUCUCUUCUAUAUAAGAGAUCUGCAAGCACGAAUUAAGUUUGAAGUCGCCGAUGCUGCUGCUGCUACUUAGUGCACGAAUGCUUAAUUAUUUACAGACUUGGUUACUGGAGUAUGUUGUUGUUGCUGCAGUGCAGAUCGAUCGCCGAGCGGUUGCUCAGAUCAAACCAUCAUCCUGGCUUGCGGUUGCGGGGGGGUCAUCUCCAUCUUCACUCCCGCCCGGACGGCCGCCGGCCCUGCAACUGCAAGGAGACGAGCAGUUCAGAGGCGGUUACAUCUGUAUUCAGAUUUCAGCAGAGCAUAAACACGUAGGAGGUUCAGAUCAUCUCUUGGCACAGAUCAGUGAAGAAGAAGAAGAAGAAGAAGAAGAAAGAGAUCAGUUUCAGUCUUUUGUUUUCAGACCUUUGUAUUUCCGUUAGAAUGCUGCCACGGCCAGCCCGCCGCCGACGAACACCGCGGUGAGGAAAGGAUGAUCGUUCAUCAGCUUCCC
rnacentral:lncRNA from 1 species